GCCGCCGUACGAAGUGGAACGAGAGGCUCGCGAGAUGUUCUACGCAGUUGCAGGGUCAAGAGCGGAGAGUAUAAUGUUUCUGCGUCUUAGAAAUUAGUAUACAACUGAUAGAAAAGGCUACUUGAUUUAAAUCAAUGUUAUUGGUACUAUUGAAACAAUUCGUUUACGUCCGACAUAAGUAAACAUUAUUUGUUUGAAACGAAUAGUUACUUAAAUAUCACUAAUGACAUAUUUAUUUUAAUCAAACAAUUUUUUUUUCUCACUGUCAGUAUACGAAUGAAAUGUCAGACUACGCGAACUAAAUGUUGCAAGUUAAAAAUUUGAAUCUAACAAAUUAGAACAAAACGAAUUAAGAUUGAGGUUAUUUGAUCGGUGGAAUUCAGUUAUUUCAUUCGCAAACGUCAAUCUCCAAUGCGUUGUUUGAUACAGUCCUGAGAAAAAAAAAAACAUAAAUUGCAACGCGAUUAGCACGUGCCACUUCCAAUUUAUAACGCAAAUAUGUAGCUCGGUUUACGGAGAGUGACGUGUAUAAUUAUGUAUAUCGUUGUUAUGCCGUAAUGCAAUUUCCGUUCUCCUAUCGAAGAAGGAGUCCGCGACGCAGUCGAGGCGCUGCACUAACGUGUUCGUUAGUUUGCGCACGUCGGGCGACCUCAAGAUAACAUCGCGAUGAACCGACUGACAUUACCAUUAUUUGCGCGUAUAGGUAAUGAGCGCUUUUACAUGCAAUUCCGCGACGACGAUUCCAUAUCAACUGAAACAAGAGCAUUAGCUCGAUUUCGCUCCAACAAUUCCCAAGCAAGUAGACUUUUCCCGUGCGCGCGCGCACACACACACACACAGCAAUUAGGCCGGCAGUACUUUGAACUGGAGCUGGCUCAAGUGGGAUCGGCAGCUAAAGAAGAUCUUGAACUUCUCAGUUUCGCAAUCCGACGAAUUGGUAGUGCAGGAUAUCGAUUGGCUUAAGACGAGUUAGCAUUCCGUCUUACAUACUCGGCAUAAAGACGUAGUUCUUGUCGUAUUGUGCUGGUAUAAUCUAAAAAUAUUCCUGCCUAUAGAAGUAAGAGCUAAGGAUGAAAAAUUUCUUCAGUUUUAUCGUGGAUUGAAGCGGCCCGGUUAAUCAUCAGUCGCGUCUCACUUCUUGCGUACGUGGCCAAUAUCUACACGAUAUUCACGCAAAGCCGGCAAAACUUGCUCGUACUUUGGAUGAUCCUCAGCUUUCU
rnacentral:misc_RNA from 1 species